GAAUCUUGUUAACAGUGUUCUUCGUUAAGACGCACAUCACUCACAUCAGUGUUUCAGUGUAUUAAUCUUUGUGUCUAAUAUAGUGUAAUAUAUCUAAUAUAGUGUAUAUCAGUGUAUAAUUAUAUUUUUAUAUAACUUAAAAGUUAUUUGUCGAUUAGCAUAUUAAUGUAAAUAAUAUCAAGAUUAAAUAAGUUCAAUACAAAAACUGAACCAUAUUAAUAUUGUGUUAAACAAAAAAAAAAGUACAAGUACAAAGUACUAUAAACUUCUCUCUAGACGUUUACUCAGUGUGUAUUGUGUACAAAAUACGAACUUGUGGACUAAUUUAGCUAGAUAAAAAUUUGUGUUGUGUGUAAAGCUUCGUUUUAUGUUUAAUUACGUAAAACAUUUAAGAUGGCUUUUAUGUAUGCAUUAGUUUUAUUUUUAAAUGAUUCGUCCAAUAAAGAAAUUGAUAUAUUGAAUAUCGUGGUACCGGAUGUAAAUAGCCUGAAUCAUUGUUAAAAAGUACUAAGUAUUGUAAAUUAUUACAAACGAUAGUUAAACAUUGUGAAGGGUCUGACCGACAUGGCCAACGUUUUAUGUUCAAAUAAGUGUCACAGCAG
rnacentral:misc_RNA from 1 species